rnacentral:rRNA from 1 species
AGUGAACGCUGGCGGUAGGCCUAACACAGCAAGUCGAACGGCAGCACAGGAGAGCUUGCUCUCUGGGUGGCGAGUGGCGGACGGGUGAGGAAUACAUCGGAAUCUACUUUUUCGUGGGGGAUAACGUAGGGAAACUUACGCUAAUACCGCAUACGACCUACGGGUGAAAGCAGGGGAUCUUCGGACCUUGCGCGAUUGAAUGAGCCGAUGUCGGAUUAGCUAGUUGGCGGGGUAAAGGCCCACCAAGGAGACGAUCCGUAGCUGGUCUGAGAGGAUGAUCAGCCACACUGGAACUGAGACACGGUCCAGACUCCUACGGGAGGCAGCAGUGGGGAAUAUUGGACAAUGGGCGCAAGCCUGAUCCAGCCAUACCGCGUGGGUGAAGAAGGCCUUCGGGUUGUAAAGCCCUUUUGUUGGGAAAGAAAUCCAGCUGGCUAAUACCCGGUUGGGAUGACGGUACCCAAAGAAUAAGCACCGGCUAACUCCGUGCCAGCCGCCGCUGUAA